AUCACCUGGAAAUCUAGUUAAAAUGCAGAUUCUGAUUUGCUAGUGGGGCCUGAGAUUCUGCAUUUUGAUCAAGCUCUCAAGUGAUGCCUC
rnacentral:pre_miRNA from 1 species